CAGCCGCCACGGGAAUACGGAGGGUGCAAGCGUUAAUCGGAAUUACUGGGCGUAAAGCGCACGCAGGCGGUUUGUUAAGUCUGUUGUGAAAUCCCCGGGCUCAACCUGGGAAUGGCAAUGGAUACUGGCAAGCUAGAGUGUGUCAGAGGAUGGUGGAAUUCCCGGUGUAGCGGUGAAAUGCGUAGAGAUCGGGAGGAACAUCAGUGGCGAAGGCGGCCAUCUGGGACAACACUGACGCUGAGGCACGAAAGCGUGGGGAGCAAACAGGAUUAGAUACCCCAGUAGUCCCUGUCUCUUAUAC
rnacentral:rRNA from 1 species